UAAAUUGAUCUAUGAUAUUAGUUGUUCCAACUAUGCAAAUGUAUUCUGCAGCCCUCGUUCCGCAUUUUAUGCUCGUCGCAGGGUGUUUUCCAUAAUAUACUAUGCAUACUACUGUGCACAAAGGAUGCUUUGAUUUAAUUUAUUAAAAUACUAACAGUGGUAUUUUGGUCCAUGUUCAAUUACCUGUCCAUGUUGCUAACUUAAAUAUAGUUUUUUUCUGUAGGUUGGCAUCGAUUCCUGUUGCUUCUGGGCAACACCGUUUUCAGUACUUCAAACUACGUUGGUAAACUAUUGUUAGACUCUGAUUAAGAUUUCACAUGAUCAUCUUAUAAUGCAUGUUUUGGUAUUCAGAUGUUUCCUUUGCAGCAUGGGAGAACUUUUCAUAUAGUUAUUUUGGAACCGUGACACUAAUACCUGCAGAAACUUUGCACAGCUUUUUGGAAUUGUUAUUCUGGCAUAAAAUUUCAUCCCAUCAUCUGAGAGUUACGAUUCAAGGUGACAAAAUAAUUGUUUUAUUGUGUUGACUAUAAAAGCAAUAGGUGGUGAUCUCACUAUAUAUGAGCGAACUUCUUUGAUGAACUACAUGAUGAAUGAAACAAUACAGGUGCUGGUAUACUAUCCAUGGCAAACUGCGGGCUAAACACAAAUGGAGCUAAGUUUUUUUAUAACACUUUGUUAUUGAGAACUUGUGUGUGAUUGUAAGAAAUAGUAAUUAGUGUAUAAUUAAAAAUUUAUUAUAGCCCCAACACAAUAGCUUCAUGGCAUGCACUCCAUAUUUAGAAAGAAUUACUAUGGCAUGUCUGUUGUGAAACGGAUUGGGUUUGUUGUAACCGAUAAAGAUGACAGGCCAACUGAUGAAGUGAAAAUUGUGAAAUGUAUAAUCAAAUAUGAAUGUAGAUUUCACUACUAAAUUUUUAAUUUUUUGCUAUGGGCUACAAUGUAAUUAUCUAUAUGGUGGAUAUUAUGUUGAUGGUUGUAUAUCUAUUAAUGAAAUAGUUCUCAGUUAUACGUAUUUGAUUUUGUAUUUAUUACUUAUACAAUUUAAACUAAUGAAUUAUUUAUUAUGUUUUACCUUUCUUGUUUUGGACAAAUUAUAAACAAUCUCAGAAAACACUUGUGUUUGCAACCCUAGAUUCUGUUAACUCAUCAUAGCUAAUUGAGUAGCCACCAA